rnacentral:rRNA from 1 species
GUAGGUGGCGAGCGUUGUCCGGAAUGACUGGGCGUAAAGGGAGCGUAGGUUGCGAUUUAAGUUAGGUGUGAAAGCCCGUAGCUCAACUACGGAACUGCAUUUAAAACUGGAUUGCUAGAGUACAGGAGGGGUGAGCGGAAUUCCUAGUGUAGCGGUGGAAUGCGUAGAUAUUAGGAAGAACACCGGAGGCGAAGGCGGCUCACUGGACUGCAACUGACACUGAGGCUCGAAAGCGUGGGGAGCAAACAGGAUUAGAUACCCUGGUAGUCCACGCCCUAAACGAUGGAUACUAAACGUGGGAGGUAUCGACUCCUUCCGUGUUGAAGCAAACGCGAUAAGUAUCCCGCCUGAGUAGUACGGCCGCAAGGUUG